rnacentral:rRNA from 1 species
AGCAUAUUAAUAAGCGGAGGAAAAGAAACUAACAAGGAUUCCCUCAGUAACGGCGAGUGAAGCGGGAAGAGCUCAAAUUUGAAAUCUCCGGUGCUUGCACCGGCGAGUUGUAGUUGCGAGAAGCACUUUCUAGGUGGAUCGGCGGUGCCUAAGUUGCUUGGAACAGCACGUCGCAGAGGGUGACAACCCCGUCUGUGGCGCCGCCGGCCGCUGACGAUGUGCUUUCGAAGAGUCGGGUUGUUUGGGAAUGCAGCCCAAAAUGGGUGGUAAACUCCAUCUAAAGCUAAAUACUGGCGUGAGACCGAUAGCGAACAAGUACCGUGAGGGAAAGAUGAAAAGAACUUUGAAAAGAGAGUUAAAAAGUACGUGAAACCGUCGGAAGGGAAACGAAUGGACUCAGCAAUGCGCCCUCUGAGAUUCAGCCGCGUGGGUGGCGUCGGCGCGGGGUUUGCGGAUCUGAAUGGACCGCGGCCCGGCGCUCGCUGCUCCCCGCCGUCGCACUUCUCUGGGGCGCGCGUCAACGUGGGUUGGGACUGGGUCUGAAAGGUGCCGGGAAGGUAGGUGUGGGCCUUCGGGUCCGUUCUGUUACAGCCCGGUUCUCUCAUGGCUCGGGCCCGACCGAGGAGCAGACAGGGCAUGCCUCCUGUGGCUAGGGUCCCGUCCUUCCGGCCGGCUGUCCAGUGUGGUGGACUGCUUGCAGUGCUCUGCGACGGCUGCCGGUCGUUGGGGUGGUGAUCUCGUACCAUGCCCUUGGGAUGUUGGCGGUCAUAUG